UACGGAAGGCAGCAGUGGGGAAUAUUGCACAAUGGGCGCAAGCCUGAUGCAGCCAUGCCGCGUGUAUGAAGAAGGCCUUCGGGUUGUAAAGUACUUUCAGUCGUGAGGAAGGUGUUAAGGUUAAUAACCUUAGCAAUUGACGUUAGCGACAGAAGAAGCACCGGCUAACUCCGUGCCAGCAGCCGCGGUAAUACGGAGGGUGCGAGCGUUAAUCGGAAUUACUGGGCGUAAAGGGCACGCAGGCGGUUAAUUAAGUUGGAUGUGAAAUCCCCGGGCUUAACCUGGGAAUGGCAUUCAAGACUGGUUAGCUAGAGUCUUGUAGAGGGGGUAGAAUUCCAUGUGUAGCGGUGAAAUGCGUAGAGAUGUGGAGGAAUACCGGGUGGCGAAGGCGGCCCCUGGGCAAAGACUGACGCUCAUGUGCGAAAGCGUGGGGAGCGAAACAGGGAUUAGAUA
rnacentral:rRNA from 1 species